CCUACGGGGGGCAGCAGUGGGGAAUAUUGCACAAUGGGGGAAACCCUGAUGCAGCGACGCCGCGUGAGUGAAGAAGUAUUUCGGUAGGUAAAGCUCUAUCAGCAGGGAAGAAGCAAGACGGUACCGGACUAAGAAGCCCCGGCUAACUACGUGCCAGCAGCCGCGGUAAGACGUAGGGGGCAAGCGUUAUCCGGAUUUACUGGGUGUAAAGGGAGCGUAGAGGGUAUGGCCCGUCUGAAGGGAAAGCCCCGGGCUUAACCCUGGGACUGCCUUGGAAACUGUUAGACUAGAGUGCUGGAGAGGUAAGUGGACUUCCUAGUGUAGCGGUGCAAUGCGUAGAUAUUAGG
rnacentral:rRNA from 1 species